rnacentral:lncRNA from 1 species
CUGCCCCCGUGUGACAAGUGUAUUCUUACUCGUCCCUCAGAAUGCCAUCCAUCUUAGACCUCCUUGCUACUUGAAGGGGCACCAAAAAAUCAUGAGCCCAGGACAGGACAGAGGUGGAACUUAUUCUCCAGGUGCUCUACUUUGAAGUCAAGGACAUCUUACCAUCACCCUGGGGAGCUGGAUCCUCCCAGAGUGAGUGAAGUAAGCACAGUGUUGCAAUACAACAAAGCCAGUUGUUCAGUCAUGUGAGGGAAAACUGAUCUGUCAUAAAUCACUGAGUCAGGACAAGAUAGAUGAGCAAUUUUUCUGUGGCUCCUUCUACACUCCUGUCUUCCAUCGGCCAAGUCACUUACUC